AACGUUAGGGACUAGGCUCCACUUCCAAGAUGGCUGCCAGCAAAAUCGUGGUAAACACGAAUUCCUGCAAGUUUAUGUGGAAAUUCUCGACUUACAAAGCUCUAGAGCGAUGAAAAAGCGAAAGAAUGAUUGAAGCGUCCCAAAUAUGGUAUGUAAUGCCUAAUAAGAAGAUGGCCGAGCGAGCUAGAAAAACAACAGUUUUUAAACCAAGAUUGACUGAUAUUACAGUCCCGGAUUUUGAUCUGUUUGCUUCAAAAUGAACAACAGCAGCUCUUCUCGUCGAGAGUAUCGAGCUUGCUCUAACAGCUUGUUGGAAUCUCGAUGCUCUGAAAACGUAGAGUACCGGAUUAGCACAAGAAUUCAAUCCGAACAAAAUAAUGGUUACUGGACCCGUGAGUAGGCUGAGAAGAACAUUCGUCAAAGAUGUCCCUCCGAAAAUGUACCUCAGCAUCCAUAUGAGAAUUACCAAAAUC